AACGAACGCUGGCGGCGCGCCUAAUACAUGCAAGUCGAACGAGAAGCUGUAGCAAUACAGUUGUACAGUGGCGAACGGGUGAGGAAUACAUGGGUGACCUACCCUCGAGUGGGGAAUAACCAGCCGAAAGGUUGGCUAAUACCGCGUACGUUUCCCAGUCUGCGGGUUGGGAAGGAAAGCGAUGCCGUGGGUAUCGCGCUCAAGGUUGGGCUCAUGUCCUAUCAGCUUGNGGUGGGGUAACGGCUCACCAAGGCAACGACGGGUAGCUGGUCUGAGAGGACGAUCAGCCACACUGGCACUGCGACACGGGCCAGACUCCUACGGGAGGCAGCAGUAAGGAAUAUUGCGCAAUGGGCGAAAGCCUGACGCAGCGACGCCGC
rnacentral:rRNA from 1 species